rnacentral:sRNA from 1 species
CUUGGUCAUUUAGAGGAAGUAAAAGUCGUAACAAGGUUUCCGUAGGUGAACCUGCGGAAGGAUCAUUAAUGAAUUCAUUGACAGGGUUGUCGCUGGCCUCUAUAGGCAUGUGCACGCCCUGCUUCAAUUCAUCCAUUCUACACCUCUGUGCACUCUUCAUAGGUUGGCUUAUUGGGGAUGACCCAUAGCCUCUCUAUGUAUUUUAUCACAAACUUGUAUAGUCCAGAAUGUCACUAUUGCGUGUAACGCAUAUAAAUAUAACUUUCAGCAACGGAUCUCUUGGCUCUCGCAUCGAUGAAGAACGCAGCGAAAUGCGAUAAGUAAUGUGAAUUGCAGAAUUCAGUGUAUCAUCGAAUCUUUGAACGCACCUUGCGCUCCUUGGUAUUCCGAGGAGCAUGCCUGUUUGAGUGUCAUGUUCUCCUCAGUCCCUUCAGAUUUUUCUGUUGCUGGUACUGGAUAUUGGAAGCUGCUGGAACAUAUCCUUUCAGCUCUUCUUAAAUGCAUUAGCGUGAAUAUUUGUCAAGCGCUCUCCAGUGUAAUAAUUAUCUACGCCGUCGAGCUAUUGAUGAGAUUAUCUGUUCAUGCUUCAAAUCGUUCUGUAGUAGAACAAAUCAUUUACACUUGACCUCAAAUCAGGUAGGACUACCCGCUGAACUUAAGCAUAUCAAUAAGCGGAGGAAAGGAAACUAACAAGGAUUCCCCUAGUAACUGCGAGUGAAGCGGGAAAAGCUCAAAUUUAAAAUCUGACAGUCUUUGGCUGUCCGAGUUGUAGUCUGGAGAAGCGUUUUCCGUGCUGGACCGUGUACAAGUCUCCUUGGAAUAGGGCGUCAUAGAGGGUGAGAAUCCCGUCUUUGACACGGACUGCCAGUGCUUUGUGAUGCGCUCUCAAAGAGUCGAGUUGUUUGGGAAU